rnacentral:rRNA from 1 species
GAUGAACGCUGGCGGCGUGCCUAAUACAUGCAAGUCGAGCGAACAGACGAGGAGCUUGCUCCUCUGACGUUAGCGGCGGACGGGUGAGUAACACGUGGAUAACCUACCUAUAAGACUGGGAUAACUUCGGGAAACCGGAGCUAAUACCGGAUAAUAUAUUGAACCGCAUGGUUCAAUAGUGAAAGACGGUUUUGCUGUCACUUAUAGAUGGAUCCGCGCCGCAUUAGCUAGUUGGUAAGGUAACGGCUUACCAAGGCAACGAUGCGUAGCCAACCUGAGAGGGUGAUCGGCCACACUGGAACGGGGCCACGGUCCAGACUCCUACGGGAGGAAGCAGUGGGGAAUCUUCCGCAAUGGGCGAAAGCCUGACGGAGCAACGCCGCGUGAGUGAUGAAGGUCUUCGGAUCGUAAAACUCUGUUAUUAGGGAAGAACAAAUGUGUAAGUAACUAUGCACGUCUUGACGGUACCUAAUCAGAAAGCCACGGCUAACUACGUG